CUUGCAUUUCCUGUGCACGCAGCUCUGGGCUUUGAGAACAUGCACAGCCAGGAAGUGCUCUGGCAAAAAAAAACAGGGAGAGAAUGUGGAAGACUGCACCACUGAGCUAACCAGCACUUCCCGUCCCCUUAAUGAUGCACAGAUUCCGGCUCGACACCAAGGAAGGUGAUAUCAUUCCUCAUGACAGAUUGUAUAGUGAAAACAGAAGUCUGAAUCAAGAUCCAUGCCAAUGCAGCUGGAAGCCUUUGUAGCAGAGUAAAUAUUCCCGCAUUGAGCCAUGAGUAUAGAAAGGACUUUUAGGUGUUGCUGGAAGACUUGAAACAAGCAGACAAAUUAAUUUGUAUCAGGGCACUAUGGUACAGACUGGAAGGUCAAAGAGUUAAUAUAUUUCUAUGAGAGAAACUGUAUCAAUAUUUU